GAGCUUUGCAUAAAAUACUUGUGUGUAUCUAAUGUGUAUAAAAUCUUCAAGCAGGUGCAGGAGUUAAAAUAGACUGCAAGUUCAAAGCCAGCUCACCAAAAGUCAAAGAACAAGUAUCUUUCUCAGUAAACAGAACAACAAAUAGGUAUGGAGUUUACAAGUUGGAAAUACCGUCUGUUGAUGGGAUUGCAUGUGCAGAAGCAGCAAUUGAAUCAUCCUGUGAGGCAACCUUAAUGUGGAGUUCAUCUAAAUCAUGCAAUGUUCCUGGAUACAAAUCCACAUCAGAUCAGAUAUCAAUCAAAGCCAGACGAGCUAAUCUCUGCAUCUAUAGCCUUAAUGCAAUGAAUUACAGACCAUCCAAGACCGACCUUGCGCUAUGUGGAAACUAAGAAGAAGAGUUCUCAAGUUUUCUCCACCUUAUAUCACUUAUAUAUGGC
rnacentral:lncRNA from 1 species